rnacentral:lncRNA from 1 species
GGUAAAGCCAACAGCAGACUCCAAAAGUCUGGGAAAUCGAGAACAGGUGCUUUGCCUUAACUGCGCCCAGGUUUCUAGCUGGCAAGUCCAGGGAGCUCCUUCCACUUUCCCAAGCGUCCAACCGCUACUUAAAAGAAUAUGCAUCGGAUUUUUGUUUCCCCACUUGGGUCCUAUGGAAAAAGCAGAUCUUCACGCUGUUUGGUUCCGGAUCUGCCCGGCUGUCGCCCUCAGAGAGCGGGGGUAGCGUAGGAGGGGGCCGGCUGGGCGCCAGCAUUGAUCUUUAAAAAAUCAUUUUGAAAUCGCCAUAAUGUGAAGAAAUAUGGCGCUUCGCCCUCGUAUUUCACACGUAAUGACACGAGAUGGCUUCAUUUGGAAAGAAAAGCGGGCGGGAGUGUGUCUGUGCGUGUGCGGAGGUUAUCCGCAGCCUUCCGCAGGGCAGAGGGGUAGUGGCCAAAAUGAUAAAACCCCAAGUUAGAACGGCCCGCUUUUGUUAAAAGGACUGGGCGGGGGCUGAGGCCAUGGCUCUGAGGGCAGCCUGCCUUAUAAUGGUCCAGGGUCAGAAAAUUGCCAGGAAAUCUGCCCCUAAACCCAGCCCGAGGGAUUUGGGUCUGUCUAGGGUCUGCGAAUACCGGAGACACACGCCAGGAGAGGCGAUUGUACCCAGGGCAGAAACUGAAGGAGCAGUGGCCGGGAGAAGAGCCAGGAAGCCAGCCAGCAGCCCCUGGGGAGUUCCUUCUCUGGGCCGCGGAGUAGAUUCUAAUAAAAUGGACUAUUUGGAAGCUCCAGCGAGG